AACUGAUACUACCUGCGGGAACCUGCGGAGGGAUCAUUAGAGAAGAAGGGGAGGUUUAGCCUCCUUUUUUUAACACAUGUGAACGAAGGAUUUAGUAUCUCCAUUCAUAGUGUGGAUGGAGAAAGUUAUAAACGAGAUUUUAAUGAGAUUAAACACAACAAAUAGAGAACACAUCACAACUUUUAGCAAUGGAUCUCU
rnacentral:misc_RNA from 1 species